rnacentral:rRNA from 1 species
UACGGGGGGGGCAAGCGUUGUUCGGAAUUACUGGGCGUAAAGGGCUCGUAGGCGGCCAACUAAGUCAGACGUGAAAUCCCUCGGCUUAACCGGGGAACUGCGUCUGAUACUGGAUGGCUUGAGAUUGGGAGAGGGAUGCGGAAUUCCAGGUGUAGCGGUGAAAUGCGUAGAUAUCGUUUGGAACGCCAAUGGUGAAAACAGGUCGCUGGGGAUGAGCUGACGCUGAGACACGGAAGCCAGGGGAGCAAACGGG